rnacentral:rRNA from 1 species
GUGCACGCUGGCGGUAGGCCUAACACAUGCCAGUCGAACGGCAGCACGGUAAGAGCUUGCUCUUACGGGUGGCGAGUGGCGGACGGGUGAGGAAUACAUCGGAAUCUACUUUUUCGUGGGGGAUAACGUAGGGAAACUUACGCUAAUACCGCAUACGACCUACGGGUGAAAGCAGGGGAUCUUCGGACCUUGCGCGAUUGAAUGAGCCGAUGUCGGAUUAGCUAGUUGGCGGGGUAAAGGCCCACCAAGGCGACGAUCCGUAGCUGGUCUGAGAGGAUGAUCAGCCACACUGGAACUGAGACACGGUCCAGACUCCUACGGGAGGCAGCAGUGGGGAAUAUUGGACAAUGGGCGCAAGCCUGAUCCAGCCAUACCGCGUGGGUGAAGAAGGCCUUCGGGUUGUAAAGCCCUUUUGUUGGGAAAGAAAAGCAGCAGGUUAAUACCCCGCUGUUCUGACGGUACCCAAAGAAUAAGCACCGGCUAACUUCGUG